GGGCCCGCACAAGCGGUGGAGCAUGUGGUUUAAUUCGAUGAUACGCGAGGAACCUUACCAGGGCUUAAAUGUAAGUUGCAUAAACUAGAGAUAGUUUUUUCUUCGGACUACUUACAAGGUGCUGCAUGGUUGUCGUCAGCUCGUGCCGUGAGGUGUCAGGUUAAGUCCUAUAACGAGCGCAACCCCUAUCGUUAGUUGCCAACAGGUUAAGCUGGGAACUCUAACGAGACUGCCGGUGCAAACCGCGAGGAAGGUGGGGAUGACGUCAAAUCAUCACGGCCCUUACGUCCUGGCUACACACGUGCUACAAUGGCCGGUACAGAGAGCAGCCACUCCGCGAGGAGGAGCGAA
rnacentral:rRNA from 1 species